GGAGCGGUAGCUCAGUUUGGUUAGAGCGCAGCCCUGUCACGGCUGAGGUCGCGAGUUCAAGCCUCGUCCGCUUCG
rnacentral:tRNA from 1 species